GAUGAACGCUGGCGGCGUGCCUAAUACAUGCAAGUCGAGCGAACAGACGAGGAGCUUGCUCCUUUGACGUUAGCGGCGGACGGGUGAGUAACACGUGGGUAACCUACCUAUAAGACUGGGAUAACUUCGGGAAACCGGAGCUAAUACCGGAUAAUAUUUCGAACCGCAUGGUUCGAUAGUGAAAGAUGGCUCUGCUAUCACUUAUAGAUGGACCUGCGCCGGAUUAGCUAGUUGGUAAGGUAACGGCUUACCAAGGCAACGAUACGUAGCCGACCUGAGAGGGUGAUCGGCCACACUGGAACUGAGACACGGUCCAGACUCCUACGGGAGGCAGCAGUAGGGAAUCUUCCGCAAUGGGCGAAAGCCUGACGGAGCAACGCCGCGUGAGUGAUGAAGGUCUUCGGAUCGUAAAACUCUGUUAUUAGGGAAGAACAAACGUGUAAGUAACUGUGCACGUCUUGACGGUACCUAAUCAGAAAGCCACGGCUAACUACGUG
rnacentral:rRNA from 1 species